rnacentral:rRNA from 1 species
UACGUAGGGCGCAAGCGUUAUCCGGAAUUAUUGGGCGUAAAGAGCUCGUAGGCGGCUUGUCGCGUCGUCUGUGAAAUCCCGCGGCUCAACCGCGGGUCUGCAGUCGAUACGGGCAGGCUAGAGUUCGGUAGGGGAGACUGGAAUUCCUGGUAUAGCGGUGAAAUGCGCAGAUAUCAGGAGGAACACCGGUGGCGAAGGCGGGUCUCUGGGCCGAUACUGACGCUGAGGAGCGAAAGCGUGGGGAGCGAA